AUUGAGUUUGAUCAUGGCUCAGAGUGAACGCUGGCGGUAGGCCUAACACAUGCAAGUCGAACGGCAGCACAGAGGAGCUUGCUCCUUGGGUGGCGAGUGGCGGACGGGUGAGGAAUACAUCGGAAUCUACUCUGUCGUGGGGGAUAACGUAGGGAAACUUACGCUAAUACCGCAUACGACCUACGGGUGAAAGCAGUGGAUCUUCGGACCUUGCGCGAUUGAAUGAGCCGAUGUCGGAUUAGCUAGUUGGCGGGGUAAAGGCCCACCAAGGCGACGAUCCGUAGCUGGUCUGAGAGGAUGAUCAGCCACACUGGAACUGAGACACGGUCCAGACUCCUACGGGAGGCAGCAGUGGGGAAUAUUGGACAAUGGGCGCAAGCCUGAUCCAGCCAUACCGCGUGGGUGAAGAAGGC
rnacentral:rRNA from 1 species